rnacentral:sRNA from 1 species
CAUCUCGGCACAGUCAUUAUUGGUGCCUACCUCGGCAUAUGAGUCGACCAUAUUAUAUACCUCCAGUUUGCAAUCCAGGAAUGUAUGGACCGUUUUGCCAACUAAAAUGCAGUACUCACUGCUACGGUCAAACUUGCACCAAGUACUCGGGUCAAUGUGACAAAGGAUGUAUGGGCUAUGAUAAUCCACCCCAUUGUUCAAAAAAGUGCCAAAAAGAUUUCUGGGGAAAAAUUGUGAAUCUAGAUGCUCUAAAAAUUGUUUAGACGGAGUGUGUCAUCACGUGACGGGCAGUGUUUAAACGGAUGUAGCGGUUUUUUAGAUCCACCAAACUGUGUAACACCUUGCCUUGCCGGAACCUGGGGUGAAAACUGUGAAAUUAAAUGCUCAGAAGAUUGUCAUAACAGAUCAUGUGAUCCUAGAACUGGACAAUGUGACAAAGGAUGUAAUGGGUUCAGUGAUCCACCAGAUUGUUCCACUGUUUGCGUUGAAGGAAUCUGGGGAUACAACUGUCAAGGGAACUGCUCCAAAAAGUGUUAUGGUGGAUUAUGUGACAGUGUUAGUGGAGAGUGUGACAAUGGAUGCGAUGGAUUCAGUAAUCCACCAUAUUGCGAUAAAGGUAAACAAAUACUUAGAUUGGAAGACAUUUAGAAAUGAUUAAAUAAUCAUGGUUU